rnacentral:lncRNA from 1 species
CAUAGGAUUCCUCACUUCUGGUUAGCCCACCUACGGCUUCCCCAUCCCACAGCCUCCAAUGAGGGCGCACCUGAAACCUUCCUUCCCUUUUUUCCGCCAUGAAGCUUUCCCAUUCCUGUCCCUGCCUGUGAGUCUCUGCCAAACUCAAGCAACAGCAGCUGACUGCCUUGCUAGAGCAAGCUCUGGAUAUAUAGCUGAUGUAAUCUGGGUGUUUGUUCCCUCCAGAUCUCAUGUUGAAAUGUAAUCCCCAGUGUUGGAGGAGGGGCCUCGUGGGAGGUGUUAGGGUCCUGGAGGUGGAUCCCUCAUGAGCGGCUUAGCACUAUCCCCUCGGUGAAGACUGAGUUUUCAGUUCAUGCGAGAUCUGAUUGUUUAAAAGAGUGCAGCACUUCCUCCACCUUGCUCCCUCUCUUGCCACUGAUGUGCCUGCUUCCCCUUCACCUUCUGCCUGGAUUGUAAGCUCCCUGAGAACCUCACCAGAAGCAGAUGCCAGCACCACGCUUCCUAUACAGCCUGCCAAAAUCAUCCCGCCUCCAGAGCCCUGUGGGUUGAAGACCGCUGUGCUCUUUUCUUUCGGCUUCACACGCUGGUUAGUCUUCUGUUUGCUUUGUCAGCACGGUACUUUUCAUUUCCUUCGUGGUGUUUUUAGGAGCUCCUGAAUUUCACAGACAAAUCCAGACCCCUGUGUGGAAAGCCUGCGGUGGUGUUCUCCGUCUUCCCACAGGACUCCCUGCAGCCAGGAAUUCUAGGGGAGCACCUGACGCGAGGUAUACGCCCAGAUGGCCUGAAGUAACUGAAGAAUCACAAAAGAAGUGAAAAUGUCCUGCCCCGCCUUAACUGAUGACAUUCCACCACAAAGGAAGUGUCAAUGGCUGGUCCUUGCCUUAACUGAUGACAUUCCACCGCAAAAGAAGUGAAAAUGGCCGGUCCUUGCCUUAACUGAUGACAUUACACCACAAAAGAAGUGAAAAUGGCCGGUCCUUGCCUUAAGUGAUGGCAUUACCUUGUGAAAGUCCUUUUCCUGGCUCAUUCUGGCUCAAAAUCACCCCCACUGAGCACCUUGUGACCCCCACUCCUGCCCGCCAGGGAACAAUCCCCCUUUGACUGUAAUUUUCCUUUACCUACCCAAAUCUUAUAAAAUGGCCCCACCCCUAUCUCCCUUUGCUGACUCUCUUUUUGGACUCAGCCUGCCUGCAUCCAGGUGAUUAAAAGCUUUUAUUGCUCACACAAAGCCUGUUUGGUGGUCUUUUCAUACGGAUGUGCGUGAAAACCACAAUAUUCCUG